CUGCUGGUGAUAUAUAUAGAUAUAUAUAUAUAUAUAGAUAUAUAUAUAUAGAUAUAUAUAUAUAUCACCAGCAGUG
rnacentral:miRNA from 1 species